GAGGACCCUUCUGUGCACAGUGGGACAGGAGCACCUACCUACAGGCAGGACUGCUGCAGGAAGAGCUGCUGCUACUGCAGAACAACUUUGGCAAGUGCUAGUGUACAACCUGCAAGAAACACAAGAGGUGACAACUCUGGGGUCACAGAAAAGGAGCUCACUGCCCUGAAUCCAGGAUGGCUUCCCGGAGGGGGUGUGGAGAGGACAGGGGCUGGCGAGGUGCGCUGCGGGGCUCUGCUACAGCCCACGCCACCUCCCUGGCUCCCACCGCAGCCCCUGCCAUGCAGAGAGAGAGGCGGUGGGGGCUGACCACAACCCUCCUCCUCUCCCCGCUGCCCCGCCCCUCUAAGUCCAGACAGGGUAGCAGAGCUCCAGAGUUAUUGCUCAGAAGAUAGGAAAAGGGCUGGGAGGCCCUGGACUAUAGAAAUCUCUGGGUGCUCCCCAAAGAGCCAGGGCAUUAGAGGGGUGUACAGAGGGAGCCCCAAGAAGAAAAACGACCACAGCCAAACCUAACAGCCUGCCUAACCGUAAGGCUGAGCUCACUAGCACCUGCGUGGAAUCUCCAAUUGCUAAGAGACCUUCUGAACAGACUUGGGUCACAGUGGAGUGGGGAGGCUGCCCUCACCCCUAAAUCCACAGGAGA